rnacentral:rRNA from 1 species
GCUCAGGAUGAACGCUGGCGGCGUGCCUAACACAUGCAAGUCGAACGGAGAAUUUUAUUUCGGUAGAAUUCUUAGUGGCGAACGGGUGAGUAACGCGUAGGCAACCUGCCCUUUAGACGGGGACAACAUUCCGAAAGGAGUGCUAAUACCGGAUGUGAUCAUCGUGCCGCAUGGCAGGAUGAAGAAAGAUGGCCUCUACAAGUAAGCUAUCGCUAAAGGAUGGGCCUGCGUCUGAUUAGCUAGUUGGUAGUGUAACGGACUACCAAGGCGAUGAUCAGUAGCCGGUCUGAGAGGAUGAACGGCCACAUUGGGACUGAGACACGGCCCAAACUCCUACGGGAGGCAGCAGUA